UACGGAGGGUGCUAGCGUUGUUCGGAAUCACUGGGCGUAAAGGGCGUGUAGGCGGUUUGUUAAGUCUGAUGUGAAAUCCCCUCGCUCAACGAGGGAACUGCGUCGGAUACUGACAAACUUGAGUACCGGAGAGGAAGGUGGAAUUCCACGUGUAGCAGUGAAAUGCGUAGAGAUGUGGAGGAACACCGAUGGCGAAGGCAGCCCCCUGGGUCAAGAUUGACGCUCAUGCACGAAAGCGUGGGGAGCAAACAGG
rnacentral:rRNA from 1 species